AUGUGGUGUGUGUGGGGGUGUGGGUGUGCUGUGGCGCCUGUGUGGUGUGUGUGUGUGUGUAUGUGUGUGGUGUGUGUGUGUGGUAUAGUGUGUAUGUGGUGUGUGUGUGUGUGUGUGUGUGUGGUGUGUGUGUAUGUGAGUGUGUGGUAUGUGUGUGUGUGGUAUAGUCUGUGUGGGUGUGCUGUGGCGCCUGUGUGGUGUGUGUGUGUGUGUAUGUGUGUGGUGUGUGUGUAUGUGUGUGGUAUAGUGUGUAUGUGGUGUGGGUGUGUAUGUGUGUGGUGUGUGUGUGUGUGUGUGUGUGUGUGUGGUGUGUGUGUGUGGUAUAGUGUGUAUGUGGUGUGGGUGUGUGGUGUGUGUGUGUGUGGUAUAGUCUGUGUGGGUGUGCUGUGGCGCCUGUGUGGUGUGUGUGUGUGUGUAUGUGAGUGUGUGGUGUGUGUGUGUGUGUGUGGUAUAGUGUGUAUGUGGUGUGGGUGUGUGUGUGGUGUGUGUGUGUAUGUGAGUGUGUGGUGUGUGUGUGUGUGUGGUAUAGUGUGUAUGUGGUGUGUGUGUGUGUGGUAUAGUGUGUAUGUGGUGUGGGUGUGUGGUGUGUGUGUGUGGUAUAGUCUGUGUGGGUGUGCUGCAGUGCCUGUGUGGUGUGUGUGUGUGGUUUGUGUGUGUGUGUGUGGUAUAGUGUGUAUGUGGUGUGUGUGUGGGUGUGGGGUGUGCUGUGGCGCCUGUGUGGGGUGUGUGUGUGUGUAUGUGUGUGGUGUGUGUGUGUGUGUGUGUGUGUGUGUGGUGUGUGUGUGUGUGUGGUAUAGUGUGUAUGUGGUGGUGUGUGUGUGUGUGGUGUGUGUGUGGUGUGUGUGUGUGUGUGUGGUGUGUGUGUGUAUGUGUGUGUGUGGUGUGGGUGUGUGUGUGUGGUGUGUAUGUGGUGUGGGUGUGUGGUGUGUGUGUGUGUGUGGUAUAGUCUGUGUGGGUGUGCUGUGGCGCCUGUGUGGUGUGUGUGUGUGUGUAUGUGUGUGGUGUGUGUGUGUGUGUGUGGUAUAG
rnacentral:lncRNA from 1 species